rnacentral:rRNA from 1 species
GAUGAACGCUGGCGGCGUGCCUAAUACAUGCAAGUCGAGCGAACAGACGAGGAGCUUGCUCCUCUGACGUUAGCGGCGGACGGGUGAGUAACACGUGGAUAACCUACCUAUAAGACUGGGAUAACUUCGGGAAACCGGAGCUAAUACCGGAUAAUAUAUUGAACCGCAUGGUUCAAUAGUGAAAGACGGUUUUGCUGUCACUUAUAGAUGGAUCCGCGCCGCAUUAGCUAGUUGGUAAGGUAACGGCUUACCAAGGCAACGAUGCGUAGCCGACCUGAGAGGGUGAUCGGCUACACUGGAACUGAGACACGGUCCAGACUCCUACGGGAGGCAGCAGUAGGGAAUCUUCCGCAAUGGGCGAAAGCCUGACGGAGCAACGCCGCGUGAGUGAUGAAGGUCUUCGGAUCGUAAAACUCUGUUAUUAGGGAAGAACAAAUGUGUAAGUAACUAUGCACGUCUUGACGGUACCUAAUCGGAAAGCCACGGCUAACUACGU